GUCGUAACAAGGUAGCCGUACCGGAAGGUGUGGCUGGAUCACCUCCUUUUAGGGAGACCUAAUCCAUUUAGAAAUCGAAGGUAAUGAAAAUUAUCAAUAGAAACUAAAUUGGUCUAACCUAGGUCGGUCGAGAUUGGUAGAUAUCUUUCAAAGUAUUAUUUGGCUUAGUUCAAAAAUUGAAUCAAAGUCAGCACCCAACAACUAUAGUUAGACUACUGGGUUAAAUUCCAGCCAGAACCUUGAAAACUGCAUAAGAGAACGAGAAAAAGCACCGCAGACACAGACAUGAAAGUGUUUCGUGAAAGCUUUGGAAAAAGAAAUGUGGUCAAGUUAAUAAGGGCUAAUGGUGGAUACCUAGGCACACAGA
rnacentral:misc_RNA from 1 species